CGAGCGAGCGGAUGAAGGAUACGGUUGGCAUGGAAACAGGGAUUGCCUGAGAGGUUGAACUACAAGCAAAUGGCACAAAAGCUCGGGGCAUCAUUAUCUCGCCAUCAUUGUCCAGAAAGACAGCGGGGGCCACACAUCGAAGGAUCUCAGCAUGUGGGUGGACGCAGAGGGUCUGAGCUGUGAUGAGAUUCGUCAGCCAGACGUCAGGUGGAAUAAGAGGUGAGAAACCAAAGAAAUGACUUGCAGAAGAAAAACAUUUUCAGCUGUCAGAGUUGCCAAACCCUGGAGGAUGAACAUCCAGCUGGCUUUUACUGUCAGGAGAUGACCGGAUACGUAACGCAUACAGCAAUCAUCCGAGAGCUGUCUGCAGACUUCAAUAUGAAUGAUCUCGUGUAUACUCUUUACCUUCAUGGAUAUGGAUUACAUCUAACCUGGG